rnacentral:rRNA from 1 species
UCCGUAGGUGAACCUGCGGAAGGAUCAUUAAACAAAAGUACUAGGGAAUGACCUAGGUACUUCACCCAUGUUUUUUACGCACCCAAAGUUUCCUUGGCGGCUCCGGCCGCCAGUUGGACAACAAUCAAACCCUUGUAGUUGCAGUCAGCGUCGAAUAAACAUAAUAAUUAAAACUUUCAACAACGGAUCUCUUGGUUCUGGCAUCGAUGAAGAACGCAGCGAAAUGCGAUAAGUAAUGCGAAUUGCAGAAUCCGUGAGUCAUCGAAUCUUUGAACGCACAUUGCGCCCCUUGGUUAUGCCGAGGGGCAUGCCUGUUCGAGCGUCAUUAUCACCUCUCAAGCCCAGGCUUGGUGUUGGACUUCUAGGUAGUUACCCACACUACCGGUCUCAAAAUCAGUGACGGCGUCCCAGAGGGAACCGGGUACGAGGAGCUUCUAAUCGGGCAUGUACUUGGGACGACUCUGAGGCGACGGUCUUAACCCACAUUUUUCAAGUGUUGACCUCGGAUCAGGUAGGAAUACCCGCUGAACUUAAGCAUAUCAAUAAGCGGAGGGAAGUCGGACUGGCCAAGGGGCACACCAGGGGGGGGGAUA